rnacentral:rRNA from 1 species
GGGGGGGGGGGGGGGGGGGGGGGGGGGGGGGGGGGCGGGGGGGGGGGGGCCGGGUGUGUUGGGGGCGCGCGGGGCGGACGGGUGCGUCAGCCGUGCGUACCCUGCCCUUGCCGUCGGUAUGGCUGCCGGCAGCUGGUGCUAGUCCCGGAUCGGCGCUCCUUCUGCAUUGGGUUGGUGGUGCAUCUUCGGCGGGUGGGGAUGUACUCGCGGCUGCGCAGCUUGUUGGUGGGGUAGUGGCUUACCCAGGCUUUGACGGGCAGCCGGCCUGAGAGGGUCACCGGCCACAUUGGGACUGGGAUACGGCCCAGACUCCUACGGGAGGCAGCAGCGGGGAAUAUUGCACAAUGGGCGGAAGCCUGAUGCAGCAACGCCGCGUGCGGGAUGACGGCCUUCGGGUUGUAAACCGCUUUCGCCUGUGACGAAGCGUGAGUGACGGUAAUGGGUAAAGAAGCACCGGCUAACUACGUG